GAGCCAUUACAGAACAGAACAGAAGCAGAGACUAAUGAAAAAGAACAGACCUAUUGAGAGUGACAGAUUAUAGAAUAUUUUACAUUUUAAUUGUUAAAUAAGUAUAAAAUGGUUAGUUGUUGUUUAUGUGGUUUUGCAAAAACAAAAGGACGUGUGAAAACAUUUCAUACCAAAAAUGGAUUGAUUUUAUGAAUAUGCCAAAUUGGCAGCCACUACCAAACAGCAAAUUAUGCUCUGAGCACUUUAGUCCUAACUGCUUCGACAGAUCCGGAAAAAUCACUAAAUUAAUUAGUAUGGUUGUUUCUACUAUUAAGUUUGAAAGAUUCAAACAGAUAUAUACAAAAACAGAAAAGAGCACACAAAAUAACUAUGCUUUCCGAAAAACCUAUUAUUGAAACUUAUGUACUACAAGUAAUGGAAGUAAAUACUAUUAAUAUGAAUGAAGAGCCAUUAACUUCUAAUGAAAUGUUGCAAUCAGUGUAAUAGCAAGCAAAUAAUCUUCCUAAUACUUCAAGUAAAGAGAAGAAUGAGUCUUCUUGGUCUUAUUAUCCAGAGCCAGAUGAUACUCCAAGAAAGUUAUCUAAAAAGAAAAAUUAUGAGAAUGGCUACAAAUGAAAAGUUACUGAGAAAACAAAUAACAAAAUUACAAAAAGUGACAUAUCGACAGAAACGUCGAA